UGUGUGUGUGUGUGUGUGUGUGUGUGUGUGUGUGUUUGUGUGUUUCAGUUCUUGAACAGCAACAAAAAAUAAUGCACACAAGGAACACAGGACCCAGCUUUAACUUUGAGACAGACUAAGUUCCACACUUGUGUCUGUACAUAUUGUAGCAGGCCCAGUUAUUUUUAUUGUUUAUUAUUAUUAUACAUUUAUAUUCUGUAAUUAUCCUUCCACUAGUGUCUGCUGAAAUGCAGUUUAUUUGUUAAAAGGAAAAAUGACUUAGCAUUAUAAUUGUCAGAAGCCAUUGUUGAAGUAUGGAAUUACGAUCAUCUUACUGCUAAUAAUGCUUUUGUGGAAGUGCAUCCUGCUCUUUAACAUUGAUAUUGGUUAAUAUGGACAAAUUUAAAAUUAGUGAUAUCGCUCAGGUUAACUGGUUUGACUGGACAUAGGUGGUUUCUAAUUUGUCGAAACAUUACUUGUUUGUGAGAGGACAUUGCCAAGUCAAACUCUCUGAUGUGUCCAUUGUUUUGUAUGUCCAUUCAUUUUGUAUGAGUGUAUAUAUGAGGUACCAUUCUCAUUGUGUAAAUAUGUCAGUUGCCAUGGUUAUGGUUACAUACUUAAUGUUUUGAUAUUCCAGGGGUGAUCCAUGGCAUCAUUGUAUAUAUCAUGACACAUUGUAUAUAUUCUCAAAAUUUGUUUAGUCAUGACUAUUUUACAAAAAUAUAUUAAAGACAUCA